AGAUAAAGAUAAUAUUUGGCUCAUAUAACCUUGAUAAUAUGGUUCAGGGGUUUCUAUCAGAUUGCCGUAAAUAAUCUGACUAUGGGUAUAACGGGUAUUUUU
rnacentral:ncRNA from 2 species